rnacentral:lncRNA from 1 species
UUUAUUCAUAGAAAAUACCUUUUAGGUUGCUGCACGUUUACUGCAGCAUAUCAGCAAGAAUCAGCUUUCCUGGUUGAACUAGGAAAGCUUCAUUUCUUUAUUUCUGAGUUGAAUUGUAUGCCAUAUACUUACACAAAACACAACCUAUGAAGUAGCAAUUGAGAGAUUGGUCUUGCACAUCUGAAGAAUAAGUUUGAAAAAGUAGAAGAACCAACAUGAACUCAUGGAACACAGGUAAAAUCAUGCAUAUGCAUUUCAUGGUUUUUCAUCGAGGAUAGCAGUAUUGUCUGCUAUCCUAAAAAUCUGGGUUUCCAGCUUUUCAGUCUUUUGUUUCUUUUGUCUUAGGUGUAUGUUUCUUUACCCUUGUUCCAUAAGAACUAUGUCUGGGUGAGAUCCUCAUUUGAAUUUCAAAUUGACAACUAAGAUAAAAGUCAUGCCUUGGUGCUCAAAUUAGUCUAGGGUUUGAUGCCUUUAUCUCAACCCGUGACCCAUGUUUUAGCUCUUAGGCUCCAGCUGUGGUUUGCUGUGUUUGUGAUACACAAACCAAUAUUUGCAGCUGUCUUUGUUUGAUAUCAAAUAAUAGUGGUUUGCUAAACCAUUGUGGUAUUAUGCUUUUGGGAAAAAGUUUGCAAAACCUUUGUCUCUUGCUUUUAAAUCAAACAUUGUUUAUGAUUAUUUUGUUUCUUUCUUUCUUGGCCUAGGACAACUGCAUAUGACCUCUCACAUUCAAAGUUUGGCCAAGGAUCCUUCCUUGCUUUGGCCCUCGUGCCUGCCCUCUUUUGGCACCUCUUUGGCUUGUGUCUCUCUCUUGUUAGAGCACUCCAUCAGCCUAUAUAUAUUGAGCAAGGCUGCCUUUGCUCUGUGGUUGUCAAAAUGUAGUUUUUACAUUUGCAUUGUUGGGUUUUGGUUUUCUUUUGCAUUGUUCAUUAGUCUCUAAGUCUUCCUUUUGUGAUUAUAAACCUUAGAGCUAAACAAAACCUUUUUCUCAUAAACUCAUUGCAUUCUGCAUACCAUGAGAUCAGUUGGUAAUGCAGCAACCCAGGAAGUGUUCAUGAAAGAAGCAGCUGAGGAUAGCUAAGUUCUGAUGUAUCCCACUGAGGUAGCUGGGUUCAUGAAAGAAUCAGUUUAGGAUAACUGAGUUUCUGAGAGUGAAACUUCUGAGAAGUGUUCAAGAAGAAUCAGUUAAGUGAUAGCUGAGUUCUGAGUUGAAACUUCUUAUACCUUCAUGUGUAGCCACUUAGAGACAAGAGAGGUAGUUCUAGAAUAGUUUGGGACUAGGUAGCAUAGCAAGUCGUUGUUGUAUCCUAUACUGUAAUCUUGUAAGGAGUGAGGUACUCAGAAACAAGAGAGAAAGUAUAGAUCUAGACUAGUGGGUAGUUUAGGCAGGAUAGCAAGCCAGUUAUGUAUCCCUAGACUAUAAUCUUGUAAGAAGUGAGUUUUACAUAGUGGAAAGGUUUAUCCCUCAAGAGUUAGGGGCACGCAGUUUUUCUCCCUGAUUGCAGGGUUUCUGCGAGUAAAAAACAUCUUGGUGUUCAUUGUUAUUUUACUGCAACUUUUAUUUAUUGUCAUUGUGUAUUUGUUAUUCAGAAUAGCUAUAACUCUUGCUAUCCCUGAGAACGAAUUUAUACGGAAAAAAGUUGUUAAGGGCCUAUUCACACCCCCACCCCCACCCCGGGACCUUUAGUCUGGCCUUGUUUCGUUAGUUCUGACAGCUUUUGGCUCGUUGGCCAUGGUUGUAUUGAUCAAUUCAUUCAUCGGAUUACCAACAUAUAAAGCAGAUGAGGGUGUGACAAGUUAGUUAUAGGCUUGCAGCGAUUAAAAUUCACUCAUCCAACGACAACAGAAGGAACAAACUAGGAUGAAUAUAUCCACACAAAAGUUGGUUCCCCUUGGGUCUAUUAACUGUUAAUCCACCUGAAAACUGAGCAAAGUAAUUGAAAUUCGUUCUUUCUCUUGGCUAAAUACAAGCAGAAGUAUCUAAUUAUCAAUACAUAGUACAAGCAGAACUAUCUGAUUAUUAAAGUAUUAUAAUCCCAGGGGCCGGCGAACAGUUCAAACCAGAUACUUGCCUACAACUUGGUCUUUGUAAGAAUAGAAAGUUUUUCAGCUUAGUUAGAAUGGAGACAUAGACGAACAAGAAGAAAGAUGUGGUCCGCCCCAAAUACCAACAGAGAAAACUGUCAGACAAAGAGCAUAAGUAAUGCCUUAAUGAUUGGUAUGUGUCCUAUGUAGACGUUAAUCACAAAGAGGUCUCACUGGACGAUUGUUUUUUCAGUACAAAGCAGUUGUAAUCAUCAUUGAUGGGUUUUAAAUACUGCAAGUAUGUUUUGUCAUUAGUAUAUGAUUAGCAAGUCCAGAGUCCAGGGACUGAAAAAAUAAUCUGUUCAUCUGGUAGCUUCUGGUUCAGUGACUUUGCAAUGGCGCUGUUUAUCUUAAUCACCGUGGCACUACUGCUAUCCGUUUUUGCGUUCUCAGCUUUCUUUGUGCUGCGAUCAUGGACUUCAUCACCGAAAAGCAUGGUGGGAAUCCCAGGCAGCUUGGGAUGGCCUAUUGUUGGAGAAAGCUUCUCAUUUAUAUCAGAGUUCUCAAGUCCAUCUGGUAUAUACAGCUUCAUGCACAAGAGGCAGCAGAGGUAAACAAUUAAAUGACAUCAUUUCGUUCAUUACAAGAAACAUACUUUGAUAUAUCUAUGCAUUUCAUGUUAUAUUUUCAGGUAUGGUAAAGUGUUCAAGACUUUUGUCUUGGGUAGAUUCAGUGUGUUCAUGACCGGGAGAGAAGCAAGUAAGAUGUUGUUAGCAGGAAGAGACGGAAUGGUAAGCUUAAACCUGUUCUACACAGGACAGCAGGUGCUAGGUCCAACCAGCUUGCUACAAACUACCGGAGAAGAGCACAAACGGCUUAGACGGCUGAUUGCUGAGCCUCUAUCGGUUGAUGGCCUAAAAAAAUAUUUUCAGUUUAUUAAUAACCUGGCAAUUGAAAUAUUAGAAGAUUGGCCUGGCCGAACUGUUUUUGUCCUUGAAGAAGCUUCUACAGUUAAGUAUUGGUUACCAAGUCAUGUAGCAAAUUUCCUAGUCUAAAGUUUAACUUGUGGGGAAUGAAAGUUAAUUAGUCUGUUAAUUGUGUGUGCAGUUCACUCUCAAAGUUAUUGGUAACAUGAUCAUGAGCUUGGAGCCUGCAGGUGAAGAACAAGAGAAAUUCCGAGCCAAUUUUAAACUCAUUUCUUCCUCCUUUGCAUCCUUGCCAUUCAAAAUCCCUGGAACAGCUUUUCAUUCUGGUAUUCAGGUAUCACAUGCAUCUUUAUAAACCAUCGAUGUUGAUCAGUGACGAACAAAUUGCUGACAUAUUGAUUGUUCCACUUUGUCAGGCACGAGAUAGGAUGUAUGCAAUGUUAGACUCGGCAAUUUCUAAAAGGAGAAAUGGAGAAGGAUUCCAACAAGACUUCUUGGAAUCACUGAUAAUGAAACAUAGCAAACUAGCAGGCAGUGAAGAUAAUAAGGAUAAAUUGACUGACAAACAAUUGAAGGACAAUGUAUUAACUCUACUGGUUGCAGGUCAUGAUACCACAACUGCUGCUCUCACAUGGCUCAUCAAGUUCCUUGGAGAAAAUCCUGUUGUCCUGGAACAACUAAGAGUAAGUCAUCUAUAUGUAGCUUGGUUAUAACUGAUUAUAUUUGGUUUCCAAAAGACUGAAGCCUUAGAAUUGUGGACUUGCAGGAUGAGCACAGACAAAUUCAAGCAAACCGCGAUGGAGUCAAUCUAACUUGGUCCGAAGUUAACAACAUGCCUUACACCGCCAAGGUAAACAGUGUAUCAAUACUCAGAAGUCAGAACCUUAAUGUAAUAAUAUUGUCAAUUAUAAACUCAAGCAUUGUUCAUUGUUGUUGACACUCAGGUAAUCAGCGAAACUCUUCGAAGAGCCACUAUUUUACCUUGGUUUUCAAGAAAGGCUGCCCAGAAUUUUGAGAUUGAUGGUACAAUUUUUUGUCUCCACACACCACAUAACGAAAAGCCUUUGUUUUAAGCUAAUGUUUACUACACCAAGUUUGAUCAUCUGGUUUCUAAGAGAUUUUCCAUUACUGACAGGAUAUAAAAUAGAGAAAGGUUGGUCUAUUAAUUUGGAUGUUGUCUCUAUUCAUCAUGAUCCAGAAGUUUUUCCCGAUCCUGAAAAGUUUGAUCCCUCCAGGUUUGAUGUAAGCGCGCACUGCCCCUACCAAACCUUUUAGCUGUGGCAUUGCUCUCUGAUACAUUGGGAACUAAUUAUGGAAUAAAAAUACAGGAAUCUCUGAAGCCUUUUACCUUUCUUGGAUUUGGUAGCGGACAGCGUAUGUGCCCUGGAAUCAAUUUGGCCAAACUUGAAAUCUCAGUUUUCAUUCAUCACCUGGUCUGCAAAUACAAGUAAGAUGAAGAGGAACUGUGAGAAAUAUGGUCUAAAAUAGAAUGUAACAGAGAAUGUUUUUAAGAAACCGAAGUUUGGAAGUAGUUGAUCAAAUGAUCUGAUUUAUUACAUGAUAACUUUAACUAAAUGAGCAUGUCAACUCUUCAUGUAACAAGGAUUUCGUGUUGCAACCUCAAUUCUGAUUCUGGAUUUCUAUGAACUGUUUCAGGUGGAAGCCUCUGGAAAAAGAUGACUCAGUCCAGCCAACACUAGUAAGAAUGCCAAAGAACAAGUAUCCGAUUGUAGCCGAGCCACUUUAGUACAAUUUUCACGAUGCACUUGGCACGACUCGCUGUUUUCUUCCUCCCCCCUGUGAAUAUAUAGUUAACAGCAAAUAGUUCCUUUAUAAGGAGAAUAAUGUGAUCACCAAUAAUGUUGAAGGUUGCAGUGGCACCUUUAACAAAUCAAUUGUGAUUCUGAAUAAUGUUGACUGUUGCAGUCAUUGAUAAUUGCAUUUCAGACAUUCCACACACUUCUUUUCAAUAAGUCCAACCGAUUAAGGAUCACCGUCUAGCUUAUGUUGAAACAAUUGAUAUCAAAGUCCAGCCAUAUCAAACAUAAUAUUGUGUUUGUAUUUGUUUAGCACAUCAGUUAUCUGAGAUAUGUUUCUCAUUGUCAUAAAUAUAAGUUAAACAGUUUUUUCUACAAUCAGUGUUAAUUACCUGAUGUUAAUGUGUUUAAAAACUUGAAUAUGAUCAGUUUUCAAACAUAUCUGAGUAGAAUUGAUCCAUCUGAAAUCCAAAGAAUAGCUCUUCAUCCAUGCUUCUAUGCAACUUCUAUAAUUGUAAGAGAAUAAGUUCGUGUUAUUUAGUUUUUUUUUGUCAGGUAAAUUACAACCUUAAGUCGAACUCACAACCUCUCAUUUAUUAAAAAGAAGACUAUGUCACUAGACCAAAUAGUACUGGGUUUGACGUUAUUUAGGUUAUGAGGAACUUUGACAUCAUGAUCUUGAAUAUGACAUUUAUGCUAGUAAAAGUACAAAUUUAAGAAAGAAAAUCAAAGCAACUCCUUACCGCAGCAACUCCUUAAAACUUAAGAAAGAAAAUCAAAGCAACUCCUUCACAAAUUUAACACUCUUACUGCAGCAACUCCUACAUAAAAAAAAAAAAAAAAAAAAAACAAGAAAUGAUAUAAAAACGUUCGUGUCUCUGAAGUAAUAUACAGUGGAAUAUUCCCCAGUCUAGGCCUUGGUCUUUUUCCAUAUAUUCAAGGGAUUCGUCUUGUGAGUACUCUAAUCCUUUCUCGAAGAACUAGGGUUUAACUGUUUAAGAGUAGCCAUAUCAGUCCCAUUCUUACGGCUUUCCAUAUACUCUUGAAGCAGCCAAACACAUGAGAAAGAUGGCAGGUAAUACGGUUAAUUUGAUAGGACUAUCAGCAUGGUGAAAGAAGUAGAUAUACUGAACUGCGGAGAUAACACAUUGACAGAUGCUGCUAUAGCUAAUCCGUAAGUGUCCGGGCGACUAUUAAAGAAAAUGUUAGAAGGAUAUGGAUACGAUAUGCACUGCAGUUCUCCCAGCUCUUCAGUGUACUAGGCUUUCCUUGUGAAUGAGAUCCCAAAUGCAAGUGAAUACAGCUGCAAUAGCAAGCAGCAUUCCGAUCAAUUCAUUAGGAAAUUGCACAGAAGCUGCUAUAUUAUGCGGCAUAUAUUAUGCUACAUAUCAAAACCAAACAUUUAUGGGGAAAUCAAAAUAUGUAUAAUCAAAAAUUAAUUAUAAUAUUUGGCUGAAAACGUUCUUCAUCAGCUCGACUACUAAUGCUCCCAACACUACUUGUCCAAAACAUAUGACAACUAUAACAAAUAUCAUACAGGAUGCUCCCAACACUACUUGUCCAAAACAUAUGACAACUAUAACAAAUAUCAUACAGGCAAUACAGGUAGUUCACUUCGGCAUGACUGCUUUGUAUGCAAUGCAACAGCAAAAUACCAUGCAUAACACAGCAUCAUGCAGGCAACUUACUUGGGGAGGAACCAAAUCUAAAAAAAAAGAUGACACAUUGGUUAAAAUGAUUCAUUCUGCAACCUACAGAAAUAUACACAGCUAAAUAUCCAACAAUCGCGGAUGUUGGUCAACUAAGAUAUGUUUCUUUCAGUCAUAUAAAUUGUAAUUGUGUGUGACCCUAACGCUGAUUCAUCCGUUGUUUCAAGUAAAGUCUCUUUUUAACAAGCAUGGUUGUAGCAUCCGCUACAUGUAGCUUCACAAGGGAUCCAAGCCCAUGAGAAGCUUUGGAGGGCUAUUUUCUUUCUAUAAAAGGGGUGACUCACCAGGUUGCUGACGAAAGCCAGUUGUUGAGAGAAUUUAUAGCUUCCUUGCAAUCACAUUCCAAACGAAGAGAUGAAAGGUGGAGUUUAUCAGCUAAUGAGCUUCCAUGCAGUCACAUUCCAAUCAAAUCCCUAAUCAAAUGUCCUCCUUACACUUGAUAGUCAAUUCCAUACCCAAGAACUUGGUAACCGAGUAAGCAUUUCAGAUGUAAACAAGUCAAUUCAACAGUAAAGUAACUUCAAACUAUUAAGGUAUUUUUUUAGUCAGAAGGGAUGUUGAAUUUUUUGCAGAUGAUAUGGCACAACAUCAAGUUCCACUUUGUCAAAAGAAAAGAAACUCACACAGUCUCCCAAAACAUGACAAAACUUUAAAGCAGUGCUCCCAAAUUGUCUCUCAAGGGCUUUAAGGUCUGGUUUGGAAGGUGGAUGGCCCCUAUAGAAGAAAAGGCAAGUCAAAAUUAAAAAAUAUUAUUAGGUGAGUAUGAGAUACUCAGAGCACUGUACAAACAAUUAAAGUGACAACCUGAUUACUCAGACUACACAGACCAGGAACGUGCUAUGAGAAUGAGGAAUUAAUAUCUAAUAGAAAAAAAAAAAAAUUUAGCAUCUAAUUAUAAAUAUGGUUAAACUAUAAGGGUUCGAAAAAUGUAGGUACCUAGUAAAACAGAGAACAAAACUUGGAUCACCCGGAGAUGACUUCUUGAACUUGCUGUUUGGGAGAUAUAUAUCAAAAACCGGCCUCACUUCAUUAAUCUGUAUCCCAUUGAAUAAUCCAUGGACAGACUUAAUCUCUUCAGUUUCAGGACAAACUUGAGAAGAAACAGAUUCAUAGUUAGUCUUGACACCUUUCCAAGACCAGGGGAUACCAUGUCUUGCAACAAUGUAACCAAGGGAUUUGAGUUGCCUAUAAGCUCUAAAUUCAUCAAAGAAGAUCAUCUUUCCAUCUAAAACCUUUCUAUAUAUGUCUUCCAAGGAAAUACUAGUAUCACUACCAUCCAACAGAAGCAAAGCGCCUAUUUCAACCAAAUACCUAUAAAAGGAUUGUAACAAUUUACUAAUAGUUAAGUAUUAUGCCAUGCAAGGAAUGGUCACUGAAGCUGAUGAGUAAAAUUAGAACUUUCAUGUGCACAAAUUUCGCUCAGAGAGGAAGUCAAUUAUAGCUCUUAUUAAAAUUUCAGUGACUUCAUAACGAUAACUACAACGAAAAGGAAAGAUUUCAUGAGACAACUAAAAGGCCAUCUACAGCAUGAAAGCUUGAAAGGAAAAACUUUAAGCUAUUGUAAAAAAAUUUAACCACUCAGUAAAACAAUAAAAUCAGUGGUAUCAAGAGUGAACAAGCCCAGUUCUUUCCAGUCAAAUCUAUCCCUAUUUUUCAUGAAGUAUAAAGUUGUUGUAAUUUGCCAGAGAAUCUCACACAGAAAAUGAAAAAAAAGAACAAACGAAAAAACGGACAAGAAGGAUGUAAUAAAGUCAAGAAUCACAACACAACGAAGUUAUCUUUUCACUUACAAAACUUCUUCCAUGGAAAUAUAGAGCUUGGCAUUGCAAGAAAUUCCCGUGGUCCUCCAUAUUCUACCCUUUGGAAAUACGACUGCCAUGCCCAUCUCAUCAUCCCAGCGGGCCGUGGAUACACUAGACCUCCUACAAAAUAGCCCACAAAGCUCACUAUGCGAGCAUAUAUAAAACUUUCCUUUAACUUUUUUGUUUUUCACUAAGAUAGUCUGUUUAAGAAUACCAAUAGUUAAAGAUCAUGAUCGAUCUUAAAGUACUAGUAUAAGUACCACCCAACCUGGGUUGAAUCUUGGAUGUGGGCUGAGAAGCAUAGUGGUUUUCUUCUUCUUCAUCAAGGUCAUUGGUAUAUUCUUCAUCCAAACAUUCUUCACACAUAGUCAUUAACUUUUGAGCUCCCUGUGAAGAUCAAGAGCAAAAAUAUAAAGUACAAAAUUAAACAACACACGGCAGAAGUGCAGAAGAAGAUUGGACUUGUUCUAUCAAAAAUAGCCACAUACAAGCUUGAACAAUAAGAAGAAACAUAAAUCCGAUGAAAUCGGUAAUCCUAUUUUCCUAUCUGGGAAAACAGGUGAAGAAACCGUUGUCCAAUAAUUGGAGAUGCAGAUGAGAAUCAGCUGGUGACAGCUGAUAGAUUUGAUAGAAUACAGUUUAACAGCACCAUGAGACUACAGAAUGUUUGGCCCAUAUGGGCAUACCAGGUAUAUUAACAGUAUUUAGAAAUCCAGAGGUUAAGCAUACUCUAGCAAAUUUACAUAUGGCAGAGAUUGGUUUCAUAUUUGCAUGUUAGAAAGACAUAACAAAACCAAAGACAAUUGAAUUAAUCUGAUUGCUGAUGGUCAGGCACACAUGUAAGACAACACACAAACUUACAGACCUAUGUAUUCACUUUAGUACUUCUCCAUAGGGAACUCUUGAGUCUCCCCACUAGAAGCAUAAUUCUUAAAAUUCUCCAAUAUCAAUCCAUUAAGUUACAAUCAGGUCCCUCUCUAAUGGUACAAAUUAGAGUUGCAAAAGCAUACCUUCUCAUUGCUUCCAUUGUGAGCCAAAUUUCUGAGGGAGAGCUCAUCAUCAGUGAAAACAUUUUCAGAAUCAUCUAUGUCAAGAGGCUCCGAGCCUGAAGAAAAUGCAGAAUCAACAAAUUUUUCUAACAAAAAUAAUGGCUACAAUAUCAACAUUGUUGAAAAAUGAAAAAUUGAGUGCCAGAGGAGAAAUUUAAGGUGAGUGGAAUUGAAGUACCAGUAGAGUGAGUGAAACAAGAGACAAUAUCGGAACCGAGUGGCUCCAAGUUUGUUCCAGUUUCACUUUCAAGUACUUUGUCAUCAUCACGGCAUUGUUCUGGCUUCCAUCUUGUGAUUGUACGCUCUUCAACAGCAAAUGUCUCCACACAUGAUGGAGAGUCUACACUAUGACCGUUACUGCUGAUAUAAAGAACCAACAAUGUCUUGGCAACGCCUCCACAAAGCCGAGUAGUACGAUGAAUAUCUAACCACUCCCUCAGUCGCAUAUUUCCAUCACUAUCUUCCUCUGACAACACCAUCACCGCAUAUUCAGAAUGAACUAGAGCUGGAUGAUGGCAGUAGGCAACAAAGUCCACACCAUAUUUAACUCCAGACCUAACAACCCAAUUUUUCAUUCUAAGGUGAGAAUAAGCCUUGUACAAAUAGGGGAACAAUGCUCUUCUAGAUUCCAAGCACUGCCAUAGCUGGCUAUCAUUCUUUGAGCACUUAUCUUCGACAAUCUCGAGGCAUUUUAGAGAAUGGCAUAGGUAAAAGGCCUCUUCCAUACACAACUGAAACCAGUGCUUAUUCUCCAUCAUUCUAUCACCAAAGCAGGCAGAUUCAAGAAGAUUAACUUGCUCUGGUUUCACUUCAAAAAGUACACUGCUGCCACAUAAAAACCCUCGAGAAUUCGAUUCAAUUAGAGAAGAUUGAAGCUGCAAUACUAUAUUUGACAUGGGUUGUGCAAGAGCUUUGGAUUUAGACAGAGACUUAGCUCGAGAGCUGUUUCCUUUCCAUCUAGGCCCCAUUAGACUACAACAUCAUCAUACAACUAAAGCAUUUGAGACCCAUGUUGUUGAAUUUUGAAUAAAAGAGAAGUUAACAAAAACAAACAGCUAUUAACUGAAAUAACCAACAAAUCCCCAACCCAAUUCAUAUUGAAAUCAAGAACAGAAUGAGCAACCGAAUAAAGCGAACAUUAUAGGUGAAUGGUGCUACACAAUACACCCAAUAGACCAACCAACAUACCUUGUUUGUUUAAAGACGGCGGAGGUCAGGAGGUGGAAGGAACGACGGCGGCGGUGGAAAGAAGGACGACGGAGAGGGCGACGGCGGCUCAGUGGGAGUGAGUGCUUUUGUAUUUUGGUCUUUAUACACGGAGUGGAUCCCAGUUCAGCCCGUGCGCCAGCAGAUAACCCAUCAACGCUUUACAGACCGAGAAACUAAUUCUGGUCGAGGGAUCUUGUCAUUUUUAUUAAAAUCUUUAAACCCACCUCUUUGUUUUUUUCUGAAAAUUUAAACCCAUCUAAUCAUUCUUACAAAGACAUUGAGAUUUGAAUGUCUGGCAUCAAUUAGGCUAUUGAAUCAACAAGGUACAGUUCACCGACAAUUAUCGCUUAGAUAUAUCGUGAAAAAUCUAAUACAAGUUAUAGAUGUCCUGGUGCAAUUGCAUUGAAAAUAAUAGGCAAUUCUAAAAUUAUUGAAAUUAACCUAAUUCAGUGACAUUAGAAAGGGAAAUGCUCUAAUGUCUAAAUAUUUGAAAACUAAAACUCAUUCCAUUUAAAUUUUUAUCUCUUAGCUCAUUCCAAUGACUCUUACCAAAAGAACGAUAUUACCCAUCAUUAAAUUACACCUAACCAGAAGCUAACCGCCAUGUCCUUCGUAACAACCUCUCUCUCUCUCUCUCUCUCUCUCNCUCUCUCACUCUCUCUCUCUCUCUCUCUCGUACUCUCGUACUUCUCUCUACUACUCUCUCGUACUCUCUCGUCUACUACUACGUAACUACGUACUACGUACUACUACUACGUACCGUACCUACUCCGUCGUACGUUACGUUACCGUUACCGUUAACCGUUACCGUUAAAAACCCGUUACCGUUACCGUUUACCUACCGUUUACCCGUACCGUUACCUUUACCUACCUUUACUACUUAAACGUCUCUCUCUCUCUCUCUCUCUCUCUCUCUCUCUCUCUCUCUCUCUCUCUCUCUCUCUCUGAUCCUUCGUCGGUGACCUCAUCCUCGCCUCCACCAUCUCCGGCAACCUCUUUCAUCCUCGCCUCUCUCAAAGAAGCACGACGAAGAGUCCUCGCCUCCACCAUCUCUCUCUAUCUCUCUCUCUAACUCUCACUUACAGAUCCGUCGCCGGCGAUCUCAUUCGCGCCUCCACCAUCUCUGGUGACCUCAUCCUCGCCUCCGCUUAUUGCCCCGGCCUCCUCCUCGCCUGUCACUACAACACUACGAGUCCGAAGAGCAGCGUCAAAUCCAGAUCUAGUCGUUCUCCAACGUCGUCUGCACGUCGUUGCUUGGAAACGUCGAUGCGAGCCGAGCUCACCAAGCUCCAUCAUGCACCACUACGGUCUCCGAUUAGUGGUGGUCGUCCUAGCUUGACUGCACAUCGUCUUUGCCUCUACCUUUGGUUUCGGACUCCUACGUCAACGCCAUCAAGAGUUGGUGUUGUGUAAUGGAGAUUGUUUUCUCAAGGGUUAUAAAGUUCUACUGGGGAUAAUAAUGUUCUACUAGGGGUGAUAAAUUUAUUACUGGUGGUAAUAAAUUUAUAACUAGUCCUUUUUUCUAUUUUUUCUUAGGGUUAUUAUUCUUCUAUCGUCUUCGUUUUUUUGUGUUUUAACUAAUUACUAGGGUUCAGUAACUAAUUACUUAGGACUAGUAAUUGAUUACUGAGGGUCAUUAAUUGAUUACUGGGGGUCAGUAACUCAAUUAUUGAGAAAAUCCGGCGACCGGUGACCAAAUUCUGAUGAUUAACUCAAUUAUUGGGGCUCAAUAACUGAUUACUAUGUAUCAGUAAUUAGCCAGUAACUAGGGUUACUGGGGGUCAGUAACUGGUUACUGGGGGUCAUUAACUGGUCAGUAACUGGUUAUUGGGGGUCAGUAACUAAUUACGGGGGAAAUUCCGGUGACCAGAGUCCAGCUGUUGGGGAAAUUCCGGUGGCCGGAGUCCGGAGGUCAGGAAAAUUUCGGUGACCGGAGUCCAGCGGCCGGUGACCGAAGUCUAGUGAGAUUCCGGCCAAGUAUUCUCUCUUCCAUUUUCUCUCUCUAUGCAUGUUUAAGGGGUGAGGGCAAAAUAGUCUUAAAAUAAUAUGAUUUGUUAAGACUUUAAUAAAAAUUUGUGCAUUUAGGCAUAAAAAAUGUUACCUUAUAUUGGAAUGGCUAAUGAAAAAGAUUGUCAUUGAAAUGGGGAAUAAGGAGUUUAAAUUAGUACUAAAUAAGCAUUUUUCCUUAGAAAUAACCUUCCUGGGUUUGCUAGCUGGUUAUCGAGAUCGUGUGUACCUAGUUUGGUAAUGUCACAUUUUUUUUAUCAAUUAAGUCAUCAAAUAUCAUUAAAAGAGGAAGUGUUACAACAAGUAGGGUUACAAUAAGGACAUGAAUCAUAAAGGGCUACUUAUAAAACAAGUCAGAUCGUUUGAUUUAAACCUAGCAACCUACAUACCAAAAAAAAAGCGGAGAUCGAAAAAUCUACAAGCACACGAUGAGACAAUGAUGGCUAUUAAACCGGUUGUGGGCAUGGUUGAACCAAAUGCAUACCAAUAUAGUCAUGGCUCUCAGACUCGAGAAGGAGAAACAUGCGUAAAUUUAGCCAUCUCUCCUUUUAUUACAAGGCCUUCCACUUUUGCUUUUCUAUGCCGGUGAAUACGUGAUAAGGCAACUGGCAACCCUUGCGAGCCGGACCUUAACCUGUCAUAAGUAUUGUUGUUUUGGCUUGUUUGUUAGAUAAAGUUCAACUUAGCUUCAUCUAAGGUAGGCCUUUUGGUAAGAUUGUCCCUUCAUCCAACUUAGCUUCAUCCAAAGUUACCAAAGCACAAAAACCAUGAUCUUCUCAGAAUGAAUUUUAUACAAAGAGUGCAUAACCACAUAGGUAGAUCGCUCCUACUGGUUCCAUGACUUCCAUCGAUAUAGACUUUAGAUUCCAAAAUAUUCAUUUAUCAGAUGUGUGCCAAGUUCUGCUAUAUGAAUAUAUGUAUCCUCAAAACUGAACUAGCACUGUAUUCAGUAUUCUCAAUUUGUGAAUUCAACUUUGCAGUGAUUGCAAAAAGAUGAUGAAGAGCUCCAAAAUCACCAAUGAAGUUUGAGUGAAAACGUACAAAACCAGUCUGUUUGUUUUCCUGCUGACAGCAAUCCCAGGUACAGCUAGCUAGCUGUUCGCUGAUGCAUGAAAAUAAUUUGUCUAACUGUGACAUAAAUAAUCAGUAUUAUAUAGCUUGUGAGCAACUUGUAUAUCAUGAUUAUCAAUCUGAAUUCGAUCUGAAAUGUAAAUGCAACAGAUAUUCAUGCUAACAUAACAUUUACCAACUUCUGGAAGAUCCAAGGAUAUCAAACUCCUCUCAGCAGGCAUUUCUGUCAUAGUCAAAUUUAUACUAGCUUUCUGUCAAUACACUCCAUACAAACAAACAAAGAAAUUGAUGAAACGGAACCACUUGUAGCUCUUCACUGAUAACGGAUGAUGUGUCCCUGUCAGAUAAAUAUUUUUUUUUAUUUUUUGAAAGAAGAAACUUUCUCAUAAUUUCUUAAUUACUCACAAUUAUCGAUCCCAUUCAAGGGUCUUAUUAGCUUUGCAAACCUUUUGCCGAAGUCUAGCUAGCUAGCUAGACAGGUAGUGGUUUACUCUUAUGGUACUUCUUCCAUAGUCUUGAACCAGCCAAACACAUGAGAUAGAGGGCAGGUAAGGCGCAUAAUCUGAUAGGACUAUUAGCAUUGUAAAAGAAGUAAAUAUACUGAACUGUGGAGAAAACGCAUUGAUAGAUGCUACUGACUAAUCCGUAUGUGUCUAAGUGACUUUCGAAGAAAGUGUCCGAAAGAUGUGGAUAAGAUAUACAGUGUAGUUUUUUCCAGCUCUUCAGUACUAGGCUUUUCCUUUGAAUCAGCUCCCAAAUGCAAGUGAAUACAGCUGCAGCAGCAAGCAGCAUUGCAAUUAAUGCAUAGUGCGGUUUGCUUGGCGAAGAAGCUUGAUCGAAACCAGCAGAAAGAAUCACGAGGAUGAGGGUAAAGAGUAAGAAGUUCCAUUCUGCUGAUGAAGUAGCCUACAUAUAAUGUAGAUAGAAACUUUUUCAGUUAAAAAUUGAAGAGAUAUAAUAUGGAAUUGAAACUGUUCUUUGACUAUGGUUAUGAGAUUCGAGCAUUACAUCCACUGUGGCCUUUUGCUCCUCAUGGUUAACGGUGAUGAUCUUGUCCUUGACACUGGUAUUCCUGCUGACCUCGUCUACUGGUUGCUCAAUAAUCUUCUCCUCAACACUGGUAUUGGUGCUGACCUCGUCUACAGAUUGCUCAAUAAUAUUCUCCUGCAGUAUAUAUAGAUUAUAUAUACAUGUAAUAUAUAAGCAUAACAUAGUAACUUCAAGUAACAUCAUCUGUAAAGCAAUUCUGUUUUGUUUUAUAACAAUAAUCUUUUUUCUUAUCGAUGGAAGAAAGCAAACACAAACGAAAACCCCUACAACAAUUGAAACCAAAGCUAUCAAAGUAAAACAAAACAGAAUUUCAUUUUUAUGCUCAAGAAUUAGAAUGUACCGUUUCCUUCCUGAGGAUACAUCGUUUUAAAGAUUGCACGAUAUCAUUGUAAGCGCUGUUUGAUCCCUACCAUCAAGAAAGAAAGUACUUAGUUUUUGAAUCAUUUCAAGAUGCAUAUAGAACCGAGUUUAUUUAUAUCAUUUCAUGCUUACUUAUGAGAUUCAGUAUGCCAUCCAGUUAAACUUGCCACGGAUGUCAAAGAAGCCCUCCAACGUUUAACCUUGUCCGAGUCUUGUUCUUGUUCAUGCUUGGCGAAGCUUGCUCCAAUAGUUCCUUUUUGUUUUCGGACAUCUGAGGGGUCGACAAGGUGAAAGCCUGGGAAGAUGAGACUACUUGAAUCCCUGUUUGCUUCAAGAAUCUGCACAAGUUGUUCCAAGAGCCGAGGGGAGGAAGUCCGGCGAGAUAAUAACUAGGGCGACCUUCGAGUCUGAUUCCGACCUCCAGGGAAGCUGUGCUUUCUGCUCCCUCAACCUCUUGGCUGUCUCUGAGAGUGAGAAUUCCUUCAUCCUUCAAAGCCUUGUGUAGAAGAUAUGAAAAGUUGCCUGCGUCCUGGCUUGAGCUGCUCAAGAAGACGUCGUACUUCCAUGGAGCUGAGGCGAUGAGUGAGGCCAUCUGUUACACACUGAGGAGAUGAGCCGUCGAUUCGAAGGCACCUGCUUGGUUUUGACUUUUGAAUGAGAGGAAACUGUGCUAAAGGCUAAAAGAAAAAAACGCAAGGCUGGGAAGUUUCUCUUUUGACCAACGACCAAAGUCUUUCUUGAGUUUCCACAACGCUUCAUAUUUCAUUGUCCAUAACGUACUGUACGCCACAAGAACAACUGCAUGCUUCUUUCUUUCUGGUCAGGGCAGUCCAAUACUUCUUACAUUCCAGAAAAACACGCAGACGAUUCUUCACAAAAUAAGAUAAUUUAAGGAGACCAAACAAAAAAUGUUAGUCCUCGAUCAACGACCAACUGCUUUUUUACACUAGAAUAUUAGGGGAUCAGAUCGAUAGAUACAUUUUGUUUCCGGGACAAAAUUUCCAAACUAUGACUUCUCGGACUCGAUCGGUCCAUGCCACCAUAACAAAUUCAGAGCGAUAAUGAAGUGCUAGCUUCUUUUAGGAUAUCUAUUUAGUAUCAUUCCAUAUUCCUUAUAUUUGAACCUUUCUUAUGCUUGACCAAACACCAGGUCAAUUCCACAUAAUCUGCUUCAGGCCUUCAGCUUCAUCUUUCUUAAAGGCUUUCUGAGCAAAGAGUCGUUAUGCUUCUUUAAAUCCAUGUGCCACCGCCAUAUGCAGCACAACUCUUCCAUGACGAAUUAGCAACUCUUCAUUUCUAGUUGUAACAAUGAUUCUGACCAGCCAUUGCUCCUUUCCGCUAAUGUUAAUAUAUAGUUGGUCUAGCUAGCUCAUUGGCAUCAUCAAGGAUAAGAACCUUUUUAUUUUGGAAACAAUGCUCAAUCAUACUGGCUCCACCAGAACCGUACAUUGGAUCUUCUACGAAGUUCUCCUUCAAGAUUUAAAAAAAGAAGCAGGUUUGAAGAUGAACCAGACCGUGUUUUUCAGUAAUAGAAAUAUACCAUGUUUCAAUCUUAUAAUAGAAACGAACUUGUGAUUAUUUUCAGUAUAUACUCCAGCCAAAACUUGCUUUAUGAAAAGGUUGCAAAAGAAAACAAACUAUAAACCCCGAAUAAUACUUUCCAUGGAUCCAACUGCGAAUUCGUGGCAAUUUAUUGUAAGGUAAUAGCUAUUUGUAGUGUUGUACAUCUAGCAUAAUCGUAGAAGAAAAUCAUGUAUAUAAUAAAUUUGAUCAUUUAGCUAUGAAACUGAAAUUCUUAACAGAUCGAUGAUAUACAAUAGCUAUAUGCCCAUAUCUACUCAUCAGUUGUUCACAAAUGAACCAUCACUAAGGUUCGUUUACUCACAAUUAUUCUUUGUACUGGUAUCUAGCUAGAUUUCUGAUCAAUAAUGAUUAUGAUUGCUGUGUAGUCUUGAACCAGCCAAACACAAAAGAAAGAUUGCUGGUAAAAAUGAUAGUUUUAUAGGACUAUCAGCAUGCCAAGAGAAGUAAAUGUAUUGAGUAAUAGAGCAUAUGCACUGAGCAGCGCCUCCAAAUAAUCCGUAAAUGUAAGGGAGAGUACCAAAAGGCACGCUAUCGUGGGGAUGUGGAUAAUAAUACCACCAGAGUUUUCCGAACUUCUUCAGUACUACUUUAUUCUUUAUGCCCUUGUAAAUGAGCUCCAAAAUGCAAGUGAACAAGGCUGCAAUAGAAAACAGCAUACCAAAUAGUGCAUACUGUGGCUUACUUGAGGAGGAGGCCUGAUCAAAACCGGUUGACAAAAUCUCUAGGCCAAGGUUAGUGAUCAAAAAGUUCCACUCUGCUGAAGUAUCCUACAAUAGUAUACAGUAAUUAAGGAGAUUAUUAAACAAAAUAUGCAAUAAAAGUGUUGGCCAGUUAACUAUAAUUCUGAGUUUUUACCACCAAAUCUGUAGUGUGCAUUGGAUGGUUACGGUUGCCCUCGUUAACAUUAAUGCUAGUGUAUGCAACCUGCAUAUAUUGAAUUGUAGUUGAGAAAUACAUACAACUUGCAAACAGGGGAGUGUAUCCUGAGCUAAUUUCAUAUGCAAGUAUCUUUGAAGGUAAAAGGUUGUUGGCAAUCCUUAUAUAGAACAAAACACAACCUAUGAAGCCUAAAGCAAUUGGGAGAUUGGUCUUGCACACCUGAAGAACAAGUUGAAGAAGUAGAAGAACCAAUAUGAUCUCAUGGAACUCAGGUAAAAUCAUGCAUGUGCAUUUCAUGGUUUUUCACAGAGGAUAGCAGUAUCACUUGCCAUCCUAAAAAUCUGGGUUUCCAGCUUUUUGAUCUUUUGUUCUGUUGUCUUAUGUUUAAGUUUCUUUACCCUUGUGGCAUUAAUUUUAUGUCUAGGGGAGAUCCUAAUUUGAAUUUCAAAUUGACAACUAGAAUAUAUAAAGAUCUUACCAUUGUGGUCAAUUUAGUUUUGGGUUUGAUGCCUUUGUUUCAACCCGUGACUUAUGAUGUAAAAGCUCUAAGGCUACAGCUGUGUCUGUGAUACACAAACCAAUAUAACAGCUGUCUUUGUAUGUUCUCUCCCUUUCAGAGUUUGGCCAAGGACAAAAGUCCAAAACUCCUUCCUUGCUUUGGCCCUCGUGCUUGCCCUCUUGUGGCACCUCUUUGGCUUGUGUCUCUCUCUUGUUAGAGCACUCUAUCAGCCUAUAUAUACUGAGCAAGGCUGCCUUUGCUCAGUGGUUGUCAUAAUGUAGUUUUUACAUUUGCAUUGUUAGGUUUUGGUUUUCUUUUGCAUUGUUCAUUAGUCUCUAAGUCUUCCUUUUGUGAUUAUAAACCUUAGAGCUGAACAAAACCUCUUCUCAUAAACUCAUUGCAUUCUGCAUACCAUGAGAUCAGUUGGUAGUGCAGCAACCCAGGAAGUGUUCAUGAAAGAAGCAGCUGAGGAUAGCUGAGUUCUGAUGUAUCCUGCUGAGGUAGUUGGGUUCAUGAAAGAAUCAGUUUAGGAUAGCUGAGUUUCUGAGAGUGAAACUUCUUAGAAGUCUUCAAGAAGAAUCAGUUAAGUGAUAGCUGAGUUCUUAGUUGAAACUUCUUAUACCUUCAUGUGUAGCCACUUAGAGACAAGAGAGCUAGAUCUAGACUAGUUUGGGACUAGGUAGGAUAGCAAGUCGUUGCUGUAUCCUAUACUGUAAUCUUGUAAGGAGUGAGGUACUCAGAAACAAGAAAGUAUAGAUCCAGACUAGUGGGUAGUUUAGGCAGGAUAGCAAGUCAUUCAUGUAUCCCUAGACUAUAAUCUUGUAAGAAGUGAGUUUUACAUAGUGGAAAGGUUUGUCCCUCAAGAGUUAAGGGCACGCAGUUUUUCUCCCUGGUUGCAGGGUUUCUGCGAGUAAAAAACAUCUUGGUGUUCAUUGUUAUUUUACUGCAACUUUUAUUUAUUGUCAUUGUGUAUUUGUUAUUCAGGAUAGCUAUAACCCUUGCUAUCCCUGAGAACGAAUUUAUACGAAAAAAAGUUGUUAAGGGCCUAUUCACCCCCCCUCUAGGACCUUUAAACUUGUAAAAAGUGUGAUGGCAUUAUCUGCAUCAAGUUAAAGACAGUUCUAUGUCAUUUUAGUCUAAAGUAAAAUCUUACCAAGUUGUGUGUGGAUGUCGGAUGCACUCUUUCGGUUGGACUUGGUAUAGGAUGUAUUUUGUUCCAGACUGCUUCAGUAAUUUCUUCUAGAACUUGUACUUCAUUCCUAACAUCAAGAAAAGGAGAGAAUGGAUACUCAGAUCAUUCUCUUAAACAACUAAUUACCCUCAAAAGC